rnacentral:rRNA from 1 species
GAAGCUGGAUUCGCUAGUAAUCGCGCAUCAGCCAUGGCGCGGUGAAUACGUUCCCGGGCCUUGUACACACCGCCCGUCAAGCCAUGGGAGCCGGGGGUGCUUGAAGUGCGUCGCCGCAAGGCGCGCCCUAGAGCAAAACCGGUGACUGGGCUAAGUCGUAACAAGGUAAC